rnacentral:snoRNA from 1 species
ACUGGCAUAAUGAUGAAAUAAUGAUUUGCCGUUUACCCAUCUGACUGGUUAUUGAUGUGUAUCUUUUUGAAUCUGAAAUGCCAGU